rnacentral:rRNA from 1 species
GACGAACGCUGGCGGCGUGCUUAACACAUGCAAGUCGAACGGAAAGGCCCCUUCGGGGGUACUCGAGUGGCGAACGGGUGAGUAACACGUGAGUAACCUGCCCUUGACUUCGGGAUAACUUCAGGAAACUGGGGCUAAUACCGGAUAGGAAUCCUUGCUGCAUGGUGGGGGUUGGAAAGCUUUGGCGGUUUUGGAUGGACUCGCGGCUUAUCAGCUUGUUGGUGGGGUAGUGGCUUACCAAGGCUUUGACGGGUAGCCGGCCUGAGAGGGCGACCGGCCACAUUGGGACUGAGAUACGGCCCAGACUCCUACGGGAGGCAGCAGUGGGGAAUAUUGCACAAUGGGCGGAAGCCUGAUGCAGCAACGCCGCGUGCGGGAUGACGGCCUUCGGGUUGUAAACCGCUUUCAGCAGGGGCGAAGCUUGUGGUGACGGUACCUGCAGAAGAAGCACCGGCUAACUACGUG